rnacentral:rRNA from 1 species
AUAAUACUCCAUAGAUUAGAGACACUGGAAUGUUCUUUAGUCGAAAGUUCUGGCGCCUUAGGAUGGAUCUGCGGUCGAUUAGGUUGUUGUUGGGGUAACGGCCCAACAAGCCUGUAAUCGAUACGGGUUGUGGGAGCAAGAGCCCGGAGAUGGAAUCUGAGACACGAUUCCAGGCCCUACGGGGCGCAGCAGGCGCGAAAACUUUACAAUGCAGGAAACUGUGAUAAGGGAACUCCGAGUGCCCGUAUACGCGGGCUGUCCAGGUGUUUAAAAAUCAUCUGAAGAAAGGGCCGGGCAAGACCGGUGCCAGCCGCCGCGGUAAUACCGGCGGCUCGAGUGGUGGCCACUAUUAUUGGGCUUAAAGCGUCCGUAGCUGGACCGAUAAGUCUCUUGGGAAAUCCGCCGGCUCAACCGGCGGGCGUCUAAGGGAUACUGUUAGUCUAGGGACCGGGAGAGGUGAGAGGUACUCCGGGGGUAGGAGUGAAAUCCUGUAAUCCCCGGGGGACCACCGAUGGCGAAGGCAUCUCACCAAAACGGCUCCGACAGUGAGGGACGAAAGCUGGGGGAGCGAACCGGAUUAAAUACCCGGGUAUUCCCAGCCGUAAACUAUGCGCGUUAGGUGU